rnacentral:tRNA from 1 species
UCCCUUGUGGCUCAGAUGGUAGAGAAUCUGCCUACAAUGCAGGAGACCUGAGUUCGAUCCCUGGCUUGAGAA